rnacentral:rRNA from 1 species
CCUACGGGGGCAGCAGUGGGGAAUAUUGGACAAUGGGCGAAAGCCUGAUCCAGCCAUGCCGCGUGUGUGAAGAAGGCCUUCGGGUUGUAAAGCACUUUCAGUGGGGAAGAAAGCCUUGGGGCUAAUACCCUCGAGGAAGGACAUCACCCACAGAAGAAGCACCGGCUAACUCCGUGCCAGCAGCCGCGGUAAUACGGAGGGUGCGAGCGUUAAUCGGAAUUACUGGGCGUAAAGCGCGCGUAGGCGGUCUGAUAAGCCGGUUGGGAAAGCCCCGGGCUCAACCUGGGAACGGCAUCCGGAACUGUCAGGCUAGAGUGCAGGAGAGGAAGGUAGAAUUCCCGGUGUAGCGGUGAAAUGCGUAGAGAUCGGGAGGAAUACCAGUGGCGAAGGCGGCCUUCUGGACUGACACUGACGCUGAGGUGCGAAAGCGUGGGUAGCAAACAGGAUUAGAUACCCGUGUAGUC